rnacentral:rRNA from 1 species
GACGAACGCUGGCGGCGUGCUUAACACAUGCAAGUCGAACGGGAAGGCCCUGCUUUUGUGGGGGGCUCGAGUGGCGAACGGGUGAGUAACACGUGAGUAACCUGCCCUUGACUUUGGGAUAACGUCAGGAAACUGGGGCUAAUACCGGAUAGGAGCUCCUGCUGCAUGGUGGGGGUUGGAAAGUUUCGGCGGUUGGGGAUGGACUCGCGGCUUAUCAGCUUGUUGGUGGGGUAGUGGCUUACCAAGGCUUUGACGGGUAGCCGGCCUGAGAGGGUGACCGGCCACAUUGGGACUGAGAUAAGGCCCAGACUCCUACGGGAGGCAGCAGUGGGGAAUAUUGCACCAUGGGCGGAAGCCUGAUGCAGCAACGCCGCGUGCGGGAUGACGGCCUUCGGGUUGUAAACCGCUUUCGCCUGUGACGAAGCGUGAGUGACGGUAAUGGGUAGAGAAGCACCGGCUAACUACGUG